UACGUAGGGUCCAAGCGUUAUCCGGAUUUACUGGGCGUAAAGUGUGCGCAGGCGGCCGAGCAAGUCGAGUGUGAAAGCCCCGAGCUUAACUUGGGAACUGCGCUCGAAACUACUUGGCUAGAGUGUGGCAGAGGGAGGUGGAAUUCCACGUGUAGCGGUGAAAUGCGUAGAGAUGUGGAGGAACACCGAUGGCGAAGGCAGCCUCCUGGGCCAACACUGACGCUCAUGCACGAAAGCGUGGGGAGCAAACAGG
rnacentral:rRNA from 1 species